rnacentral:rRNA from 1 species
AUUGAACGCUGGCGGCAUGCUUUACACAUGCAAGUCGAACGGUAACAGGCUUUCGGGUUCUGACUACGGGCGGACGGUGGAGUAAGGCAGCGGAAUGUGCCCAGAUCUAGUUGUUAACGCAGCGAAAGCUGUGCUAAUACCCGAUGAUAUCUGAUGAGAAAAACGGGUGACCAGGCAGCAACUUUUGGCCUUGCGCGUUUGGAUCAGCCGAUGUCGGAUUAGGUAGUUGGCGGGGUAAAGGCCUACCAAGGCGACGAUCGGUAGCUGGUCUGAGAGGACGACCAGCCACACUGGAACUGAGACACGGCCCAGACUCCUACGGGAGGCAGCAGUGGGGAAUAUUGGACAAUGGGCGCAAGCCUGAUCCAGCCAUACCGCGUGGGGGAAGAAGGCCUUCGGGUUGUAAAGCCCUUUUGUUGGGAAAGAAAAGCAUCAGGUUAAUACCCCGCGGUUCUGACGGUACCCAAAGAAUAAGCACCGGCUAACUUCGUG